UUGAAUUGAAGCCCCAGUAAACGGCGGCCGUAACUAUAACGGUCCUAAGGUAGCGAAAUUCCUUGUCGGGUAAGGUGAAAUUAUAAUACCCGUGAAGAUGCGGGUUACCCGCGACAGGACGGAAAGACCCCAUGGAGCUUUACUGCAGUUUAAUAUUGGGUAUCUGUCAAGCAUGUACAGGAUAGGUAGGAGCCGGAGAAGAUAGGACGCCAGUCUUAUCUGAGGCGCUGUUGGGAUACUACCCUUGCUUGACGGAUGCUCUAACUCAGGCCUGUGAUCCAGGCCGAGGACAGUGUUUGACGGGCAGUUUGACUGGGGCGGUCGCCUCCUAAAGUGUAACGGAGGCGCCCAAAGGUUCCCUCAGAAUGGUUGGAAAUCAUUCGCAGAG
rnacentral:rRNA from 1 species